AUGUCACUGAGCCCCAUGAUGGAAUCACAAUGCUCCAUUGUGACAUCACAGACCCCAUUGUGACGUCACAGAGCCCCAUUGUGACGUCACAGAGUUGCCAUGAUGGAAUCACAGUGCCCCAUUCUGACGUCACAGACUCCAUUGAGACGUCACAGAGCCCCAUUGUGACGUCACAGAGCCGCAUUGUGACGUCACAGAGCCCCAGUAUGGAAUCACAAUGCUCCAUUGAGAUGUCGCAGACCCCAUGGGGAUUUCACAGAGCCCUCUUGUGACACCAUAGAGCACUGUGUUUGGAAUUGGUGCACCUCAUUCGGAGGCCUCAGAGCCCCAUUGUGACGUCAUAGAGCUUCAUCAUGGAAUCAUAAAGCUCCAUUGUGACGACACUUUCACUUGCUACCCGGAGAGGAGUGGGUGUGCUUCCAAGCCCUGUGCCUUCAUCAGGUACGGCUUUCGGUUUCGGAAACUCUCUCACUCUUCCUCUCUCUCUCUCUCCCUCUAUCGCUCUUUCGCCCUCAAUCAUUUCAUUUGAUUUAUUAUCCUUUCUCCCAGUUAUAUUGUAUUCUAUCGUGUCAUCCUGCAUUCCCACAUCACAGUUAGAAAACCAAGUUCUCCUUCUUAGAUCGUGGCCGCUGCUCCGUUUUUUUCCGGAAGCCGGGGGGUAGGGGGCCCGCGAGCCUACUGCCCCCCUGUCACGAGCACAGAUCUAUCUAGGUAACUCCGUGACACCCAUUCAUACGUGACUGAGCACAUUCGGACGCCCCAAAAAUCCUCAUUGUGACACCUGUGAUCAUCUGGGAAGUCAAACAGCCUUACUUUGACAACGCAGACUCGCUUUGAGACGUCACAGAGUCCUAUUGUGACGUCACAAAAUACCCUUUUGAAAGAAGUUUUUCCCGAUUCUGAGGCCACAGAGCCCCAUUGUGACAU
rnacentral:lncRNA from 7 species